rnacentral:lncRNA from 1 species
GUGGGAUAUAUCAAAAGUGCAGCUUCCAGCUUCGGAUGAUCUUCUGAUAAUUAUUGCGCAGAAAGCAAAAAAUGGUAAAAAUGUUCUCAGAUCUGACCAGAAUCUCUUAAAACAAACUUAUAUUGAAAGUGUAUUUUUUUCCCCUUCAACACCAGAGUCCGUCGUGCUCUCUGUUAACCUUCAUCUUAUUGCUCGAGUCGAAUUUUUAUCUUUUCUCUCCUUCCACGAGGGUUCUCCGUUUCUCUCGUUAGUCCCCGUCUGCUAGGAAAACACACCACCAAAGCGUAGCAGAUGAUGUAUCAGUGGAGAUCAACUCCCUCUUUCUCUUAACCCCAACGACAAGCACUCUCUCU